UAAUGAUCACUUCGAGGGGAUCGGCCUCCUUGAUCGCUUCGAGGGGAUCGGCCCUCCUUGAUCACUUCGAGGGGAUCGGCCCUCCUUGAUCUCUUCGAGGGGAUCGGCCCUCCUUGAUCUCUUCGAGGGGAUCGGCCUCCUAGGGUUUGUCCAAAGACAGAAUAGUAUUUUUCAUAGAUUACCGAAAAGAAGCAGUUACAUCCCUAUUUAUAGAGUUCCACCCAAAGUCCAUCAGGACUUGAACUCUAAUAAUAAAUAAAUAUUAAAUAAACGUCUACUUGACUCUAACUGAACCAAACCGACUCAAUAAACAACUGGACUAAACAGACUCAAUAAACAUUAUUCAAAAGCUUAGAAAAAG
rnacentral:lncRNA from 1 species